rnacentral:rRNA from 1 species
UACGAAGGGGGCUAGCGUUGCUCGGAAUCACUGGGCGUAAAGGGUGCGUAGGCGGGUUUUUAAGUCAGGGGUGAAAUCCUGGAGCUCAACUCCAGAACUGCCUUUGAUACUGAAGAUCUUGAGUCCGGGAGAGGUGAGUGGAACUGCGAGUGUAGAGGUGAAAUUCGUAGAUAUUCGCAAGAACACCAGUGGCGAAGGCGGCUCACUGGCCCGGUACUGACGCUGAGGCACGAAAGCGUGGGGAACAAACAGG